UACGAAGGGGGCUAGCGUUGCUCGGAAUUACUGGGCGUAAAGCGCACGUAGGCGGCUUUCUAAGUCGGGGGUGAAAUCCUGGAGCUCAACUCCAGAACUGCCUUCGAUACUGGAGAGCUUGAGUCCGGGAGAGGUGAGUGGAACUGCGAGUGUAGAGGUGAAAAUUCGUAGAUAUUCGCAAGAACACCAGUGGCGAAGGCGGCUCACUGGCCCGGUACUGACGCUGAGGUGCGAAAGCGUGGGGAGCAAACAGGG
rnacentral:rRNA from 1 species